GAUUAACGCUGGCGGCGUGCCUAACACAUGCAAGUCGAGCGGCAGCGCGUUUUACACUGCAUUCUGGAAGCUUCUAGUUGAAAGAGAAGAUUUAUUCAAGAAUUUUGUGUAAAAUGUCGGCGAGCGGCGGACGGCUGAGUAACGCGUGGGAACGUACCCCAAAGUGAGGGAUAACGCAUCGAAAGGUGUGCUAAUACCGCAUAUGGUCUUCGGAUUAAAGCCUUCGGGCGCUUUGGGAACGGCCUGCGUAAGAUUAGAUAGUUGGUGGGGUAAUGGCCUACCAAGGCGACGAUCUUUAACUGGUUUGAGAGGAUGAUCAGUCAGACUGGAGCUGAGACACGGUCCAGACUCCUACGGGAGGGAGCAGUGAGGAAUCUUCCACAAUGGGCGAAAGCCUGAUGGAGCAACGCCGCGUGCAGGAUGAAGGCCUUCGGGUUGUAAACUGCUUUUAUAAGUGAGGAUUAUGACAGUAACUGAUGAAUAAGGAUCGGCUAACUACGUG
rnacentral:rRNA from 1 species